rnacentral:rRNA from 1 species
GACGAACGCUGGCGGCGUGCCUAACACAUGCAAGUCGAACGGAACUGUUUUGAAAGCUUUCUUCGGAAUGAAUUUGAUUUAGUUUAGUGGCGGACGGGUGAGUAACGCGUGAGUAACCUGCCUUCAAGAGGGGAAUAACAUUCUGAAAAGAAUGCUAAUACCGCAUGACAUAUCGGAACCACAUGGUUUUGAUAUCAAAGAUUUUAUCGCUUGAAGAUGGACUCGCGUCCGAUUAGUUAGUUGGUGAGGUAACGGCUCACCAAGACCGCGAUCGGUAGCCGGACUGAGAGGUUGAACGGCCACAUUGGGACUGAGACACGGCCCAGACUCCUACGGGAGGCAGCAGUGGGGGAGAUUGCGCAAUGGGGGCAACCCUGACGCAGCAACGCCGCGUGAAGGAUGAAGGUUUUCGGAUUGUAAACUUCUUUUAUUAAGGACGAAAAAUGACGGUACUUAAUGAAUAAGCUCCGGCUAACUACGUG